rnacentral:rRNA from 1 species
GAUGAACGCUAGCGAUAGGCCUAACACAUGCAAGUCGAGGGGCAUCACAUGAAGUAGCAAUACGGAUGGUGGCGACCGGCGCACGGGUGAGUAACACGUAUGCAACCUGCCUUCAACAAGGGGAUAACCCGUUGAAAGACGGACUAAUACCCUAUAACACAGGGGUCCCGCAUGGGAAUAUUUGUUAAAGGACAACCGGUUGAAGAUGGGCAUGCGUUCCAUUAGCUAGUUGGCGGGGUAACGGCCCACCAAGGCAACGAUGGAUAGGGGAACUGAGAGGUUUAUCCCCCACACUGGUACUGAGACACGGACCAGACUCCUACGGGAGGCAGCAGUGAGGAAUAUUGGUCAAUGGACGCAAGUCUGAACCAGCCACGUCGCGUGAAGGAAGACGGCCCUACGGGUUGUAAACUUCUUUUAUACGGGAAUAAAGUGCCCCACGCGUGGGGUUUUGCAUGUACCGUAUGAAUAAGGAUCGGCUAACUCCGUGCCAGCAGCCGCGGUAAGUACGCCAGCGA